rnacentral:lncRNA from 1 species
GGGCCCCGGGUCGGUCCCCCCACCCCGCUGGGCCCCGGGUCGGUCCCCCCACCCCGCUGGGCCCCGGGUCGGUCCAGCUGUUGCUUCCUAUUGUUAAGAUUUUCAGUACUCAGUCGCUUACUCCAGACUUCUAUUUUGAGAGGGUUUGCACUCCUCCUUACAUGAUGUGAGAAUCCCAUUUUUCUUGCUCAAGGAUUGUAAGCAUGCCAGAACACUUCACGUUACGUAGAUCAUAUUUGUCUGAAAUGAUAAUAUCGUACCUAUAGUCUGCUGCAUGCUGAAAAGUAGCCUAUGCCUCAGGCUUGGUGCAGUGACUACUUCGCCGGGGAGGCUGUUCCAGUGUGUGACAACCCUCUCAGUGAAGAACCUCUUCCUGAUGUCCAGCCUAAACCUCCCCUGCCUCAGCUCGACACCAUUCCCACGGGUCCUGUCACUGGUGACUAAAGAGAAUAGAUCGGCGCCUGCCCCUCCACUCCCCCUCGCCCUUCACCAUCUUUGUAGCCCACUGUGGUGGUUUUACUGUGCUAGGCAGCUGAACACCACAACCGCGCUCUCCCUCCCCCUCCUUAGAUGAGGAGGGGAAGAAGUAAAGGAAAGAACAACUCACGGGUUGAGAUAAGGAUGAUCUAAUUAA